GGUGGGAGGGUACUGUACAGGUCACCCUGGUGAGGUAGCAGGCUAUGGUAAUGACCUGGCUUCUUAAAUGAUUUCCUAGUGACAGCUUUAUAAACAAACAAACAAAAAAUACAAAAUCAAACCAACCAACCAACCAACCAACAAACAAAAAUCCUGUUAGAUCUAAGACCUAAGACCGUGUUGCUCUUGACAGUGUGUGUGGGAUCCUCAUUGUAAAAGGGUCAGAAAUCAAUGGGCAGACAGAGUUUCAGGCACUGCUGCCGGGGCCCUGCUGAGAGGCCUAAUCAUUCCCAGUGGGAGAGAGCUCGUUCUUUGUCUAGGGGACCGUCAAGUGGGCCAAAGAACAACAACAAGAAAAGAAAAAAAGUGUCACAGGACAGUGUAUUCAGGCGCCCGUGAAUUAAUCUUAGCUCUUGAGAAGUGGAGGCAGAAGGACCCAGAAGUUCCAGGUCACCCUCAACUACUUAUUGAAUUCAAACCCGGCCUGGGCUAGGUGGUUGUUUACGGAAUUCUUAUUCAUCAUUUCAAAACUGCUGAGAAGCAAAACUAAAGCGUUUAUUUUUGAGCCAAGCCUCAUGCUACUCACACCCAACGCAGAACCCGCCGACGCACGCCGGUUCUAAAGCAAACUACAAAAAUUAACAGAAAACGUCACAUAUCGGAACAGCUAGGUCAGUUGCACUAUCUUAUUGUUUUGACUCUGUAAAGUCUCUGGAACACAGAACAGAGCACAGAUGUGAAAUUUGCCACAAAUACACAUUUUUGAAAGCUCUUCUUCUCACCAGAACUGGGCAAUUUUAAACAUUGUCAACGUGAAGAGACUGAUGCUCGAACCCGAAACAGCCUUCUGCUGUCUGCUACAGUGAUGUGUCUACAGCCACACAGAAGCCAUCCGGUCACAGCAGAGAGCGAGAGUGAAGAAUCCCUCAGUUCAAAGAAGAGGGAUCUGACCCGCUUUUCUGGAUUUGACAGAGGAGAAGGCAACUUCCCAAGGAUUCUAAUCUCUAUGAAAGAGAAUGUGGAACAGAACCAAGGAGAAGCCAAGAAUUAUCCUCCAUCUCAUCUUCUAGUAGAUUACAGGAGGCUGGAGAGAUGACUCAGCAGAUGAGAGCACUGGCUGCUCUUCCAGAGGAUACAGGUUCAAGUCCCAGCACCUCCAUGGCAGUUCAUAGCGGUCUGUAAUUCCCGUUCCAGGGACUCUGACACCCUCAUACAAAUAUGCAUCCAAUCAAAACAACAAUGUACAUAAAAUAAAAUAAAUAAUU
rnacentral:sRNA from 1 species